GAGUUUGAUCAUGGCUCAGGAUGAACGCUAGCGGCAGGCUUAACACAUGCAAGUCGAGGGGUAUAGUUCUUCGGAAUUAGAGACCGGCGCACGGGUGCGUAACGCGUAUGCAAUCUACCUUUCACAGAGGGAUAGCCCAGAGAAAUUUGGAUUAAUACCUCAUAGUAUAACGACUCUGCAUGGAGAUGUUAUUAAAGUCACAACGGUGAAAGAUGAGCAUGCGUCCCAUUAGCUAGUUGGUAAGGUAACGGCUUACCAAGGCUACGAUGGGUAGGGGUCCUGAGAGGGAGAUCCCCCACACUGGUACUGAGACACGGACCAGACUCCUACGGGAGGCAGCAGUGAGGAAUAUUGGACAAUGGGCGCAAGCCUGAUCCAGCCAUGCCGCGUGCAGGAUGACGGUCCUAUGGAUUGUAAACUGCUUUUGCACAGGAAGAAACAACGCUACGUGUAGCGUCUUGACGGUACUGUGAGAAUAAGGAUCGGCUAACUCCGUGCCAGCAGCCGCGGUAAUACGGAGGAUCCAAGCGUUAUCCGGAAUCAUUGGGUUUAAAGGGUCCGUAGGCGGUUUAGUAAGUCAGUGGUGAAAGCCCAUCGCUCAACGGUGGAACGGCCAUUGAUACUGCUAGACUUGAAUUAUUANGAAGUAACUAGAAUAUGUAGUGUAGCGGUGAAAUGCUUAGAGAUUACUGGAAUACCAAUGCGAAGCAGGUACUAC
rnacentral:rRNA from 1 species